rnacentral:lncRNA from 1 species
AUUGUUUAGAGCCUCGGCUCUAUACAAACCACACCCUAUAUUUAAAGCCUAAGGAUUAUAUAAAGCCUCAAACUUUAUAACAGGGAGUAACUCAAAAACUUGCCAUACGUUCACGGUUCACCUAUUCAAUUCAUUUUUCUCAAUUUCGGUGUUUUUGUCAUUUCCAUGGUUGUUUGGGGCCUUGGGAUUUUGAAUGAUUUUCCCACCACUCAUUUUUCACACGCGUUUUUACUCGUUUAAAAAGUUAAGUUAGUGGCCUAUUUUCUAGGGGAAUGAAAAUGUGUAUUUUCAAUAUGCAGGUUUAGGGUCGUUUUAGUUAUGGGCCGUUGGAUCAAGACUCCAUCUCGGGAUAAAAUCACCCGUCGUCGGUUAAACCAUUCAUCAGGUCACCUUCACAUUUGUCCCUAAAUUUUCAAAAAAAAAAUUAUAAAAAACCCUUAAGACCACAUUUUUUUUUACGUAACGUAUGCAACCUAAGUUUUUCUCUCAUUUUUUUUCAGUACGAACAAAUUUCUAUAUAAAUACCACCAAAGAAAAAAAGUUUCUUUUUAGACAAAAAUACUUUUUUGUAUACAAAACUCAUUUUUAUCAGAUUUAACAUCAACUUUUGGACCCAGUAGCAU